rnacentral:rRNA from 1 species
UACGCAGGGGGCGAGCGUUGUCCGGAAUUACUGGGUGUAAAGGGCGUGCAGGCGGGACUGCAAGUCAGAUGUGAAAUUCCCAGGCUUAACCUGGGCGCUGCAUCUGAAACUGUAGUUCUUGAGUGUCGGAGAGGAAAGCGGAAUUCCUAGUGUAGCGGUGAAAUGCGUAGAUAUUAGGAGGAACACCAGUGGCGAAGGCGGCUUUCUGGACGAUAACUGGCGCUGAGGCGCGAAAGCGUGGGGAGCGAACGGG